CAAACUAUGGCAUAUCGACGGCUUAAUACGCAAACAAGAAAACUCCAGUAAACGAAACUGUGCAGAAGCAACAUAAAAAAGUAAAAAAACCUGUUACCGCAAUAAAGUAGAUUGUACAAAAAAGUGGAGUUAUCUUGUUUGCAGAUUAAUUCGCCGAUAAUGUUUACCAAAGUUGUUUUUAUAUCUGCCGUUAUGAGAAAGUCAUUAUGAGAAAGUCGUUUGAAGUCAACUUGCUCAUCGCAUAGGGAUGUAAGAACCAGGGUCCAUAAUAUACUUGUAGCCUACGGUGAAGUUCUGGCAUCAGUAAGAUAUUCUUUUAAGCACAGACAAUGACACAUUCAAUUUGCUUAAUAAAACCCUAUAAAUGUAAAAAUAAAUGUAAUAAAACCCUAUAAAUGUAUUUGUAUAAAAUUUAAAUCUAAAAUUAAUUGGAAAAAUAUAUAUUUAAAAAUAAUAAGUUGGAAUAUAAUAGCAAAAAAAGUCCCAAUAAUACAUUAUACAA